ACGAACGCUGGCGGCGUGCUUAACGCAUGCACGUCGCACGCUGAAGCCUUAGCUUGCUUUGGUGGAUUAGUGGCGAACGGGUGAGUAACACGUGAGCAACGUGCCCAGGACUCUGGAAUAACCGCGGGAAACCGUGGCUAAUACCGGAUAGGUGCCGAGGCCGCAUGGUCUUCGGUUGGAAAGUUUUUGCGGUUCUGGACCGGCUCACGGCCUAUCAGCUUGUUGGUGGGGUAAUGGCCUACCAAGGCGACGACGGGUAGCCGGCCUGAGAGGGUGACCGGCCACACUGGGACUGAGACACGGCCCAGACUCCUACGGGAGGCAGCAGUGGGGAAUAUUGCACAAUGGGCGCAAGCCUGAUGCAGCAACGCCGCGUGGGGGAUGACGGCCUUCGGGUUGUAAACCUCUUUUAGUAGGGAAGAAGCGCAAGUGACGGUACCUGCAGAAAAAGCACCGGCUAACUACGUG
rnacentral:rRNA from 1 species